AUGGAGGGAGAAUCUAGCAGGUUUUUUAUCUCGGACCAGUGGAACAUUUUUUUUCUCAAAUACACACGAGAGAGUGUGUAUCAUUCAUUAGAGAAGGACGAGUGGAACAUGAGCGACGAGGAGUGGGCCGGGAUGUCUGAGUUCGCCCAGCGCGAGAUCAUGCAGAUCGUCUCCAAGGAAGAAGAGACCCGCCGCCGCAUCAUCCGUGCCCGCGGCAGCGGCGAUCCCAACAGCAAGGCAGAGGAGGAGAGCCGCCCCCGCGGCCGCGUCCUCACGAUCGGUGGCAGGGACUCCAAGAUCCCUGUCCGGCCGUCGCACAGUUACGACGGGACGGCAGUAUGA
rnacentral:rRNA from 1 species